GACGAACGUUGGCGGCGUGCUUAACACAUGCAAGUCGAACGGAAAGGCCCUGCUUUUGUGGGGUGCUCGAGUGGCGAACGGGUGAGUAACACGUGAGUAACCUGCCCUUGACUUUGGGAUAACUUCAGGAAACUGGGGCUAAUACCGGAUAGGAGCUCCUGCUGCAUGGUGGGGGUUGGAAAGUUUCGGCGGUUGGGGAUGGACUCGCGGCUUAUCAGCUUGUUGGUGGGGUAGUGGCUUACCAAGGCUUUGACGGGUAGCCGGCCUGAGAGGGUGACCGGCCACAUUGGGACUGAGAUACGGCCCAGACUCCUACGGGAGGCAGCAGUGGGGAAUAUUGCACAAUGGGCGGAAGCCUGAUGCAGCAACGCCGCGUGCGGGAUGACGGCCUUCGGGUUGUAAACCGCUUUCGCCUGUGACGAAGCGUGAGUGACGGUAAUGGGUAAAGAAGCACCGGCUAACUACGUGCCAGCAGCCGCGGUGAUACGUAGGGUGCGAGCGUUGUCCGGAUUUAUUGGGCGUAAAGGGCUCGUAGGUGGUUGAUCGCGUCGGAAGUGUAAUCUUGGGGCUUAACCCUGAGCGUGCUUUCGAUACGGGUUGACUUGAGGAAGGUAGGGGAGAAUGGAAUUCCUGGUGGAGCGGUGGAAUGCGCAGAUAUCAGGAGGAACACCAGUGGCGAAGGCGGUUCUCUGGGCCUUUCCUGACGCUGAGGAGCGAAAGCGUGGGGAGCGAACAGGCUUAGAUACCCUGGUAGUCCACGCUGUAAACGGUGGGUACUAGGUGUGGGGUCCAUUCCACGGGUUCCGUGCCGUAGCUAACGCUUUAAGUACCCCGCCUGGGGAGUACGGCCGCAGGGCUAAAACUCAAAGGAAUUGACGGGGCCCCGCACAAGCGGCGGAGCAUGCGGAUUAAUUCGAUGCAACGCGUAGAACCUUACCUGGGUUUGACAUGGAUCGGGAGUGCUCAGAGAUGGGUGUGCCUCUUUUGGGGUCGGUUCACAGGUGGUGCAUGGCUGUCGUCAGCUCGUGUCGUGAGAUGUUGGGUUAAGUCCCGCAACGAGCGCAACCCUUGUUCACUGUUGCCAGCACGUUAUGGUGGGGACUCAGUGGAGACCGCCGGGGUCAACUCGGAGGAAGGUGGGGAUGACGUCAAGUCAUCAUGCCCCUUAUGUCCAGGGCUUCACGCAUGCUACAAUGGCUGGUACAGAGAGUGGCGAGCCUGUGAGGGUGAGCGAAUCUCGGAAAGCCGGUCUCAGUUCGGAUUGGGGUCUGCAACUCGACCUCAUGAAGUCGGAGUCGCUAGUAAUCGCAGAUCAGCAACGCUGCGGUGAAUACGUUCCCGGG
rnacentral:rRNA from 1 species